rnacentral:rRNA from 1 species
CUUGACCCAAAUUACGUGCCAGCAGUCGCGGUAAUACGUAGAAGACUAGUGUUAUUCAUGUUUAAUCGGUUUAAAGGGUACCUAGACGGUAAAUCAAGCCUAAAAUUAAAUGAAGGGACUAAUUUACUAGAGUUACUUAUGAGGGGGUAUUAAAGUACUGCUGGUGUAGAGAUGAAAUUCUGUCAUACCUCUUUUCAAUAGAAAAACAAUGGCACAGGUAUAGGCGAAAGCAUCCCCUUAUGUGAUAACUGACGUUGAGGGACGAAGGCUUUGUGUAGCGAACAGGAUUAGAUACCCCAGUAGUCAAAGCAGAAAAUGAUGAAUGUCAUAGAUUAGAUAAAUAAGUUUAUUCUAUAAAUGAAAGUGUAAGCAUUCCACCUCAAGAGUAAUUUGGCAACAUUGGAACUGAAAUCAUUAGACCGUUUCUGAAACCAGUAGUGAAGUAUGUUGUUUAAUUUGAUGAUCCGCAAAAAACCUUACCACAAUUUGAAUAUUUAUAUUUUUUAUUGUUUUCUUUUUAAUUUUCUUCUGAUUUGAUUUUUCUAAAGAAAAAAAGAAAAAGAGGCGAUGUGAUAUAUUUACNAGCGUUGCACGGCUGUCUUCAGUUAAUGUCGCGAGACUUGGGUUAGUUCC